rnacentral:rRNA from 1 species
CGCCCGGAUAUUACGAGCUCAAGCUUAAAAUCCAAAGGACUUGACGGUAUCCCACCCCCCUAGAGGAGCCUGUUCUAUAAUCGAUGAUCCCCGCUAUACCUCACCCCUUCUCGCCUCCAUGCAGCCUGUAUACCUCCGUCGCAAGCUUGCCAUAUGAAUGAAUCGUAGCAGGCCCAAUGGCCUUCCCACCAAUACGUCAGGUCAAGGUGCAGCCUAUGAAGUGGAAAGCAAUGGGCUACAAUUUCUAAAUUAGAACACACGAACAACUACCUGAAAACGUAGUCACGAAGGUGGAUUUAGUAGUAAAGGGGGAAAAUAGUGCCCCCUUAAACAGCGGCUCUGGGACGCGUACAAACCGCCCGUCACCCCCUUCUAUAGCUCACAACUUGUUAAUAACAAUUCUUAUGCACUUUAGAAGGGAUAAGUCGUAACAUGGUAAGUAUACUGGAAAGUGUACUUGGACAA